rnacentral:rRNA from 1 species
UCGUAGUUGGAUUCUGCUUGAGAUGACCGGUCCACACAAUGUGUGCGCAUCUGGUUCAGCUUAGGCAUCCUCUCGACAGACGUUUCUGCGCUUGAUUGCGUGGAGCGGAUUUCGGGACUUUUACUUUGAGGAAAUUAGAGUGUUCACGGCAGGCUAUCGCCAGAAUACAUUAGCAUGGAAUAAUACUAUAGGAUCUUGGUUCUAUUUUGUUGGUUUCUAGGAUUGAGAUAAUGAUUAAUAGGGACAAUUGGGGGCAUUCGUAUCAACACGUCAGAGGUGGAAUUCUUGGAUUGUGUUGCGACGAACUACUGCGAAAGCAUUUGCCAAGGAUGUUUUCAUUGAUCAAGAACGAAAGUAAGGGGAUCGAAGACGAUUAGAUACCGUCGUAGUCUUUACCAUAAACUAUGCCAACUCGAGAUGGGGCAUCGUUCACUUACGACUUGCUCUGCACCGUAUGAGAUAUCAUUUAGUUUUUGGGUUCCGGGGGGAGUAUGAUCGCAAGAUUGAAACUUAAAGGAAUUGACGGAAGGGCACCACCAGGAGUGGAGCCUGCGGCUUAAUUUGACUCAACACGGGGAAACUCACCAGGUCCAGACAUAAUAAGGAUUGACAGAUUGAUAGCUCUUUCUUGAUUUUAUGGGUGGUGGUGCAUGGCCGUUCUUAGUUCGUGGAGUGAUUUGUCUGCUUAAUUGCGUUAAC